ACGUAGGGUGCGAGCGUUAAUCGGAAUUACUGGGCGUAAAGGGCGCGUAGGCGGUCAGCACAAGUCAGUUGUGAAAUCUCCGAGCUUAACUCGGAAAGGUCAACCGAUACUGCGGGGCUAGAGUGCAGAAGGGGCAACUGGAAUUCUCGGUGUAGCGGUGAAAUGCGUAGAUAUCGAGAGGAACACCUGCGGCGAAGGCGGGUUGCUGGGCUGACACUGACGCUGAUGCGCGAAAGCUAGGGGAGCGAACGGGA
rnacentral:rRNA from 1 species